rnacentral:rRNA from 1 species
AACGAACGCUGGCGGCAUGCCUAACACAUGCAAGUCGAACGAGACCUUCGGGUCUAGUGGCGCACGGGUGCGUAACGCGUGGGAACCUGCCCUUAGGUUCGGAAUAACUCCCCGAAAGGGGUGCUAAUACCGGAUAAUGUCUUCGGACCAAAGAUUUAUCGCCUUUGGAUGGGCCCGCGUUGGAUUCGCUAGUUGGUAGGGUAAAAGCCUACCAAGGCGACGAUCCGUAGCUGGUCUGAGAGGAGGAUCAGCCACACUGGGACUGAGACACGGCCGAGACUCCUAAGGUAGGCAGAAGUGGGGAAUAGUCGACAGUGGGGGAAAGCCUGAUGGAGCAAUACCGCGUGGGUGAAGAUGGCGUUAGGGUUGGGAAGAAUGUUUGUUGGGAAAGAAAAACAGCAGGUGAAAACCCCGCUGUUAUGACGGUACCCAAAGAAUAAGCAACGGCUAACUUCGUG